rnacentral:rRNA from 1 species
UUUAUUAGAUAAAGAACCAAUAUAAUUGGUGACUCAUAAUAACUUUACGGAUCACAUAAAUUGUGACAUAUCAUUCAAGUUUCUGACCUAUCAGCUUUAGACGGUAGGGUAUUGGCCUACCGUGGCAAUGACGGGUAACGGGGAAUUAGGGUUCGAUUCCGGAGAGGGAGCCUGAGAAACGGCUACCACAUCUAAGGAAGGCAGCAGGCGCGCAAAUUACCAAUCCUAAUACAGGGAGGUAGUGACAAGAAAUAACAAUACAGGACUUUUUGGUUUUGUAAUUGGAAUGAGUUGAGUAUAAACCCCUUUACAAGUAUCAAUUGGAGGGCAAGUCUGGUGCCAGCAGCCGCGGUAAUUCCAGCUCCAAUAGCGUAUAUUAAAGUUGUUGCAGUUAAAAAGCUCGUAGUUGGAUUUCUGUUAAUAAUUUAUAUAUAAUAUUUUGAAAAUAUUUAUAUAAUAUUAACAUAAUUCAUAUUACUAUAUAUUUUUAGUAUAUGAAAUUUUACUUUGAGAAAAUUAGAGUGCUUAAAGCAGGCAUAUGCCUUGAAUACUCCAGCAUGGAAUAAUAUUAAAGAUUUUUAUCUUUCUUAUUGGUUCUAAGAUAAGAAUAAUGAUUAAUAGGGACAGUUGGGGGCAUUUGUAUUUAACAGUCAGAGGUGAAAUUCUUAGAUUUGUUAAAGACAAACUAGUGCGAAAGCAUUUGCCAAGGAUGUUUUCAUUAAUCAAGAACGAAAGUUAGGGGAUCGAAGACGAUCAGAUACCGUCGUAGUCUUAACCAUAAACUAUGCCAACUAGAGAUUGGAGGUUGUUCCUUACUCCUUC